UUUCAAAGUAGUAAAAUUAAUUACAUUAAGCUGUAAACUUAAAACUAGGACCACCUCUUUGAAAA
rnacentral:tRNA from 1 species